rnacentral:lncRNA from 12 species
UCCCCACCUCCGUGGAGAGCAGCUGACUGUGCAGUUGACAUGAUACCUCUCCCAGAUGCUCUUCCAUCCUUCUAGAGCCCGGUAUUCCCCGUCUCCUAGCUCUGUGCUUGCCUCACUAGCUGGCACGGGCUUCUGCACAACCCGGCCUGGGGAAGCGUUCAACAUGGUGGCAGGAGACACACCAAGGAGAAGGAGUUGCUAUUGAGGUGGUCCAGGUGGCUGGAACACUCUGCAGUCUCUGCUGUCUGAGCAUUUCAAUGUGGAGUCAUUUCCUUGCCCUGGCGCAUUGGGAGGGGGGCUUCUCACCAGGAGCCACAACACGCUCCACAUAAGACAUGACCAAAGGCACCGGAGGAACAAAAGUUCAGAGGCAGUAGGAAAAAUGUAACUCACUCCCAGGAUGGAAGGGAGGCAUCAAGAAGCCACAUGCUGUUGUGGUUGGUCUCUGGCCAGACAGGCGUCACAUGCACACUGUGAAGACACAUCUCCCUAAAUGGUGGGACCGUCGCCAGGAGCCCGCAGCCAGGUGCCGUGCACGUGGGUCUGCUCUCGGCCGUGCUGGGUAACAUCUGGGCCUUCAGCUCUGCUGGCUCAGCCACUAACCAGGAAAUGAGGUGUUCCGCCGGGAAGGGGGUUUGUGCACUUAAAUGCAGGCGUGGGAGAGGGCCCAGCUACAGGGAGACUGGAUGGUUCUAAGGGACUUCUGGGAGUGCAGCAUGAGGGAACACCAGCGGCUGUGGAAGGCAGCAGAAGAUUGAAUUUACAUGACGAAGGGAAGGCCAGUGAAGCUGUGGCAUCCCCUCACUGGUGUCAUGAGGGCCAGCUUUCUCUUUUCUUUAGCACAAAUCUAAUGUUGCCUUGGGAGGAAGUGGAAACUUUUCACCAUUAGGCCUCAUUUU